UCCCAGUUGUUGUAACAAGUUUGGAACAAGCUGUUAACAACUUGUAACAAGCUUGAUGGCAUUAUCAGACUGACAAGUCUGAUACAAGUCAUGAUAUAACAAGAAUGUUACAAGGUUGACGACACAAGGUUGUAACAAUAUUGUUAUAUCACGACUGCAUCGGACUUGUUAGAACAACCUUGCAAUAAGCCUGAUAAUAUCAACAAGGUUGUUACAAGUUGUCAACAUCUUGUUCCAAACUUGUUGACAACUUGGGU